CAGGGACCCCUCCCAAAGGGGAUUUUGGUCCCCGACUCCGACAGGAGCCCUCGCUGGCCUCGGGGCUGCUCCCACCACACGUCAGCAUCCCGGCCUGAGCCAGGAGGGACUCCGAGGCCGCCUGGUCUCCCUGGGCCGGGCUCCCCACAUGGGGCUGCACCCCCAUCCCACAGGUGAGCUGAGCCUGCUGGCUGGGACCCGGGCCUGCCACCUCUGUCCCACCUGUGCCCACACGCCCGGGAGCUGCCCCACCUGCCCCCGGAAGAGGCCCCAGGGCCACGCGUGCCAUACACAGUAGGUGUCGCGUGUUUCACUUAAAUCAGCUUCAGUUUUGUGGAACGUUGCUUGAAGUUACAAUAAGUUGCUUUUGUAGGAAAUUGCAGUACGUGUGCUGCCCCCCACCAGGAGCCCCACACCAGGCAUUCUGGGUGUUCUACUCUCAUCUGUUCUUCUUUUUAAUUUUUCGGUUUUGUAGGGACGAGGUCUCACUUUGUUGUCCAGGCUGGCCUUGAACUCCCGGACUCAAGAGAUCCUCCUGCCUCAGCCUCCCAGAGUGCUGAGAUGACAGGCGUGAGCCACCGUGUCCAGCCUUGGCUGUCCCUUCUUAACACGCUCAGUGGUCCCUGUGGUUCAGGUGAGAAGCUGAGGCACAGGAGUGAGGCCCUUGCCCUGUCAUGCUGAGAGGUUGGAUGGACGCAGGGCUCACAGCUGGCCCUCGUUCUGAGCUGGGGCCUCUCAGCCCGGGCUCGAGGUGGGGACGAUGAGGGGCAGAGAUCUUAGGGCCUCCUUCCCUGGGUGGGUCACUGCACCAGGGCAGCUGGUGCCAAAAGGGACCUCAUGGGCAGGUGUCAUGGCUGGGAGCCCUGUGGCCAUGUCAGCCCGGCGGUUGUGCUUGUCUGACCACCUGUCUGGGCUUGUGAGAACCGAGCUCAGGUUCUCAGGAGGGAUCCUAUGAAGCUUUGAAUGUAGGGGCAGGGGUGGGUUGGGGGUGAGAGCCAGUGGACACUGGUUCCCCGGCCAGGCCUGUAGGGCUUCGGGUCCUGGCCACUGAGGCUUCCAUUUCCCAGCUGUAAAGUGGCAGAGACCCCUGACCUUGAAGGUUAUGGCUGUGGCGUUCAGCAUGUGAGUCCCCAGCGUCCUCUAGAAUUGGGGGAUCCCUGCAACUUGCACAGGUGUGGGGCGGGUGGGGGCUGGAUACCACCAGCCUGCAAUGGGGCUGCCCACUGGGCCUGUGGUGAAGAUGCCCGCUUGCAGGUGUGUGGUGAUUGUGUAUGUGUGUGUGCGCAUAUGCAUAUGUGUGCGUGCACGUGUACCUGUGUGUGCGUGUGUAUGUGUGUGCCUGUGUGCACGUGAGUGCCUGCCUGUGUGUGUGCAUGUGUGCCUGUGUGUGCACGUGUGUGCAUGUGUGUGCGUGUGUGUGCACGUGCCUGUGUGUGCCUAUGUGGGUGCCUGUGCCUGUGUGCCUGUGAGUGCGUGUGUUUGCGUGUGUGUGCAUGUGUGUGCACGUGUACCUGUGUGUGCCUGUGUGUGUGCAUGUGUGUGUAUAGGUUGAAUUUCUGGUGAAAGCUGUGCAUCCCAGAAUUUAUUGUCCCCAUGAUCUCAGGGCCACUCGAGUGUGUAGAAGGCCCUGGCCCCGAGCCCUGGUGGGGGCUCCAUCGUGGCACCAUGGGGCCUCCGGAGCCUGGGGGUCUCUCUCUCUCAAUGCACUCGCUUGGUGGCAAAUGGCUGGGAGCGGUGUUUCUGUCCUGGCCGGGGAGCGCUUGAAUGCACUGAGCAGUGGGGGAGAUAAGCGUGUGAGGUGUUGUUCCUGGAGCAACCUGGUGAUAGGAGCCAUGUCCUGUGGGCCUGGCUGGAGAACAGGGCCUGAGGACUGGACAAGUGGGUGAUUGUCCCCUCUCAUGCCCAGCGCUGGCCCCGCCCUCUAUGUCCGUCUAAGUGGCCUGGCCCUGAACAGCGGUCACUCCAGGCCUGGUGUGGCUGUGAAGCGGGAGUCAGGGUGGGCCCCGGGCCCCAGCUUCCCGGCUGAACCGUUAGGGUGGGCGCUGGCUCCUAGACCCGCAGGGCUCCCUGGACAGGUGUGAGCAGACCUUCACUUGGACUUGAGGCCUUCACCCCUGCAGGUGUCUCCAGAAGGCUCUGGAACUGACUCGGGCCUGGCUCCCCUCACAGGAGGCUGAGGCCCUGGGUCUGCUGGGACUUGUGUUCACAGAGGCGCUGGGAUGGACCUGCUGGUGGCCCCCUGCCCCUCGGCCAGCCCCUUCCCUGCCCCUCGGCCAGCCCCUUCCCUGCCCCUUGGCCAGCCCCUUCCCUGCCCCUGCCCCGCUGGGCCCUGUGGUCAGGUGUGACGUCCCCUGGAGGAGAACAGGUGGGGCUUCACCCCCUGAGGCUUGGCAGCUGGUCCCCAUCAGAUCAAAGGAUUGAAAACUGUGGGUUUGGGGAGUGUUUGGGAAAGAUUUCAACCCCGGGAGUGGGAAUGCACCCGGGCUUGGAUCGCUGCCAUUCCCCAUCCGAGGCGCGGGCCCAGUGCUGGCCGGCAGAGCUCAAUAUGGCCAGCCAGUGCCCAGGUGCAUGCCCGAGGGGGCGCGUCACGGCUUCCUGUUGAUCCGGAUGCCCGAUGUCUUGGGAGGCACUGACCCUGUGCCAGGUCCUGGGGCCCAUUGCUUGGGGAGGCGGUGGGAACCUGGAGACCCUGGGGACAGAGUGGCUGGAUGCAAGGUCCCCCAAGGGGCAGGGGGAUGGCAGGGAAGGGGCGUCAGGCCUGGGGGAGGUCACCUGCCCCACCCUCCCUCCAAGGCCCUUGUGUGGCUGGGUGGGGCUGGCCCUGGGUCCUCUCCCUCUCCCCCGUCCCUGAGCGUCACUGGUGACCUCCCCAUGGACUUGUCCAGCUUGCCAGUACCCUGCGGUUUUGCCUCCUGAGUAUGUUGAAACGUUCCUAGUCCAGCUCUUGCCUGCAGCCACCCCCAUCGAAUCUGGCCUGCCGUGGCCCCCGCCCUGCAGCCCCGAGUGUGUGGUACCCCCUCAUUCUCCCUAGCACCUCAGAGGAGGCCCUGCCUGGCUCUGACACUCCCUGACCUCUGGCCUCUAUCCCCCUCCCUGGACAACUCCUGCUUCUCCACCAGCCCUGCAGACCCCUCUGACCCCAGCUGCUGGGGUCCACCCUGCCGGAGGUAGAAACAGAGCCAGCUGCAUGCCACAGGUGAGGGCCCUCCCCAAGGCCUGGGGAGGGGCAGCGUGACCCCGGAAGGGCAGCUGCAAGGGCCGGGCAGUGCAGCUCACCCGGGCGACCACCAGCCCACCCUCAAUGAGACCCCACAGCCCCUGUCCAGUGAUGUUCAGAGGGCUAGGGCUCCCCGGGCACCCACUGGUCUGCACUUUCAGACUUGACUGCUUGGUGCCUGGGCUGGGAUUUGGGGGCACUGCCCUUCCCCCGUAUCCCUGGGACCCCCUUUGGGAGCCGGACACUCAGGUGCGCACAGCCCCCACCCCCAGCCCAGCCCCAGCCCUGUGCUGUCCGCUGCCCACAGCCCACUGUGUGGCCUUGAGUGGACUGAAGGUCUCGUCUGGCUGCGGGAGGGGCCCUGGUAGCUGCUGGGCCUGGAGGUGGCUGGGAUGGUGGGCUGGCCCGCCUGUCCGGGGUGGGUAGAGGAGUAGCUAGCAGGAACCACUGCCUGAGGCUGGGCUCAGCCCAGGCUGGUAGCCUCAUGUUCCAGAAAGGGCUGGGGAGCUCUCCACCUGCCCUCCUCCAGAGAGGGGCCCUUGUCCUUUUUGUCUACUUAUGCCCCGUGCAGGAAGCAGGUCAGGGUAGGCUGGGGCCCUCAGGAGCGGGCACGUUUCAGCCUGGGGUGGGGGCAGGAUACGGGCUGCCGGGGCCAUUGAGGCAGCAGCACAGGAGGGGUCCUGGCCAGGCCACUCCUCCCUCCAGGUGGGAGCUUAGCUGGGGCGGGACCCCCACCUCCCCGGGUGAGCAUUGCCGGCCGGUAGCCUUGGGCAGGCACCCAGGAGAGGCCCCUGGCCUGAACUCCUCUCACACCUGACUCUGGUACCUCUGAGCCCCAGGGUAGGUGGCUGAGUCAUCUCCCCAGCUGGCACCCCAAAUACCUUCUCCCCUUUUCCCAUCCCAUGGGAGGUGGCUGUGUGCCACAGGUGAGGGUGCAGAGCCCCCAGCUGCUCCCUGCCCUGAGAGUUUCGCCCCCUGGCAUGGGGCCCUGGGCAGACCCUCUCAGGACAGAGCCUUCCUUGCAGGCCAGCCCUGCCAGGCCCUCACAGUGGGGGUAGCUGUGCCCCACCAGCCCCGAGGGGAAGACCAGGAUCCUGAGGGCUGGGGUUCACCUCCGAUGUCCUGGGGGAGAUGUCCAUGCGUUGCCAACUCCAGGCCUGAACCCAAGGCGCCCUCAUCUGAGCACAGGGAGAGGCUGCCGGGACGGCUGGGUGUCUGGCUGACUGCCCCGCCCGGGCUCUGGAGCUGAUAACCAGCGGAUGCGGAGUGAAAUGCAAACAGAUAAGGCUGUUGGGAACUAGGCCCCCUGGACUGCUCCGGGCGGGCAGCCGUGGGGCACCACACUGCCCAGGGCCAGGGGUUAUUGGGCCGCCUUUUGCCCUCAGUGAGCGCAGCUGGAUGGGGAGUUAGCAAGGGCUUGCUCUCCGAGGGUGGCUGGUGAGGGGGCUUUGAGGAGGGUGGGGGGACCCUGGGCUGCCGACUCAGACUCUGGAGGCUGCUGGUCAAGUGGGGGUGGAGGUCAAGCUGGAGCUGAGGCUCAUGAGACCACCUCUCUCCCAGGAAUCCUCAUCCCUCUCAUGGGGGUGACAUUUAGGACUCCCUUUGGGGAGCCCGGCAGGGCCCCAAAAGCACAAGUCAAAUGGCCUCUGAGGGCAGCUGCAGCUCACAGCAAGGGGGCCCUGGGCAGCCCAGGGUGAGAUGAAGGGCUUCCAGGGCUCCAGGUGAAGAGCAGGACUGGG
rnacentral:lncRNA from 1 species